rnacentral:rRNA from 1 species
UACAGAGGGUGCAAGCGUUAAUCGGAAUUACUGGGCGUAAAGCGUGCGUAGACGGUUAUGUAAGUCGGGUGUGAAAGCCCCGGGCUCAACCUGGGAAUGCCAUUCGAGACUGCAUAGCUAGGGUGCGGAAGAGGGAAGCGGAAUUUCCGGUGUAGCGGUGAAAUGCGUAGAUAUCGGAAGGAACACCAGUGGCGAAACGCGGCUUCCUGGUCCAGCACCGACGUCAGGCACGAAAGCGUGGGGAGCAAACAGG